rnacentral:ncRNA from 1 species
GAGUAGAGGCGCGCUGCCUAAGAGUAUUCGGUUGGAGGGAGAUCCCCAAUGAAGACCGAGGAAAGGAGUCAGCGCCGAAGUGAUUAUUGAGUCAUCAAUAGUCGCUGGUUUUGCAUUUAAGAAAUGCAAAACUGCCAUAGUUAUUUUUUGUCUAUGGAGCGCUACCCU